AUUUUUUUGAUUGCCUUUGUGUUUGUCGGUGUCUACAUACACGUGAAAUGGAAGUUUGGAUUCUGGAAGCGUUUAGGUGUUCCGUCUCCCGAUUACUUCCCUUACAUUGGAGGCAUGGCAGAGAUUCAAAAACAGGGUAUUUAUGAGUUUGACAAAAAAUUAAUCACAAAGUACGGGAGAGUAGUUGGAUUGCAAAUAGGAGGUAAUCCAAGUCUUCUGAUAGCUGACCCAGAGAUCAUAAAGAACAUCUCUGUCAAAGAGUUCUCCAAAGCCCCAAACAGAUUUCAACAUUUUUCUGGAUCAAAAAAUGAGAUGAGGCAUGGGCUGACAGCCGUGGAGGACGACCACUGGAGGUUCAUGAGGAACACACUCCUACCCACGUUUUCUAGUGGAAAAAUGAGGAAGAUGGACCCUCUACUUAGAGUGAAGUACAAGUUGCUGCUUGACAGUUUGAAAACCAAUGCCGACGAGGGAAAGCCAAUAGACUUCAAGCAAACAUUUGGUGAUUACACAAUGGACGUGAUAGCUUCCCUUGGAUUUGGAAUGGAUAUCAACUCACAAACAAAUCCAGAUAAUUUAUUCGUUACAUAUACCAAAGAACUGAUGAAUUUUUCGUUAUCUCCUCUAACCAUUCUUUUAGUACUUAUCCCUAAACUGGACAUUAUAUUUGAUUACCUCAAUGUGUCCCCUUUGAACAAUCGUCGAGUGAUGGGCUUUUUUAAAUCAGCUGUGGAACGGGCCAUUGAAUUGCGCGAUGAUGAAGACAAGAACAGACAGGACCUUCUUCAGCUCAUGAUCAAUGCUCACAAAGACACGGACAAAAACGACAUGGAGGAGGAACAAGCAAUCCAAGAUGAUCCUCAGAAAUGGAAGAAACGAGGAUUAACCACGGAUGAGGUGACAGGCAACGCCAUCAUAUUUUUCAUCGCGGGUUAUGAAACAACUGCCAGUACUAUGGCUUUCAUGGCGUAUUGCUUAGCAACCAAUCCAGACUGCCAAGAGAGACUAAUAAGCGAGAUAGACUCGGCUAUAGGACAGGAACUGCCUACCUACGAUAACGUUCAGACUAUAGAAUACUUAGACAGUGUGCUUAACGAGACUUUGAGGCUGUAUCCCCCCGCUACAAGAUUAAGUCGAGUAGGCAAAACGGAGCUAGAUAUUGGUGGAUAUAAGAUUCCUGGAGGCAUAGAGCUCGCUUUUGCUGUAUAUGCCCUGCACAGAGAUCCCGAGUUUUGGCCUGAGCCCGAGAAAUUCGACCCUGAGAGAUUUUCUCCCGAGAAAAAGUCCGAGCGCCAUCCGUAUGCAUUCCUUCCGUUUGGCCACGGUCCACGGAACUGCAUUGGUCAGCGUUUGGCUACCAUGGAGAUAAAAUGCGCCAUUGUGUACAUACUUCAGCAUUACCGCUUCAAAACGUGUGAUGAAACAGAGAUUCCUCUGAGGUUAGCCAUAACAGGACUGUUAAAACCGCUAAACGGCGUAAAUUUACUGCUGGAGAAAAGAUAAACGGUGCUUGCAUACAGAAUUGUUACGAUUUUUUUUCCCGAGUUCGAAAUAUCAGUAUCAAUAAGUUGUUCUUUUUGUAUAAAUAUUCUUUGUUGCUUUUGUGAAUUGUUAUGCAUUAUAUAAAUCGAAAUAUCUAUACUU
rnacentral:misc_RNA from 1 species